GGAGUUAGCCGGUGCUUCUUCUGUGAGUGAUGUCCUUCCUGCCGGUUAUUGACCCGCAGGCCUUCUUCCUCACUGAAAGUGCUUUACAACCCGAAGGCCUUCUUCACACACGCGGCAUGGCUGGAUCAGGGUUGCCCCCAUUGUCCAAUAUUCCCCACUGCUGCCUCCCGUAGGAGUCUGGGCCGUGUCUCAGUCCCAGUGUGGCUGAUCAUCCUCUCAGACCAGCUACGGAUCGUCGCCUUGGUGAGCCGUUACCUCACCAACCAGCUAAUCCGACAUAGGCUCAUCCGAUAGCGCGAGGCCCGAAGGUCCCCCGCUUUCCCCCGUAGGGCGUAUGCGGUAUUAGCCUGGGUUUCCCCAGGUUAUCCCCCACUACCGGGCAGAUUCCUAUGCAUUACUCACCCGUCCGCCGCUCGCCACCAGGGAGCAAGCUCCCCGUGCUGCCGCUCGACUUGCAUGUGUUAGGCCUGCCGCCAGCGUUCAAUCUGAGCCAGGAUCAAACUACUGA
rnacentral:rRNA from 1 species